UAAAGUGAUGACAAAACGACGUAUACAACUGAAUAACUCAUGUUGAAUUCUGUUGUAUUUUUUUUAAGUUUCAGCCUUGUCUGAUU
rnacentral:snoRNA from 1 species